ACACUGCAAUUUUACCUGUAAAUGUAAUUGGCAUAAAACUGAAGUCACUUCCAAACAGUGUCUGAAAAUCAGUGAAGAUAUUUUGGUGUGAAACCAGAGCUGCCUCUCUCCCAAGGCCGGCUCUUUCACUGCACUGCAAUCGCACAUUUCAACAUAUGACGCUGUCAUCUGUUGACAUGGAAACCACUGAUCUCACCUGGCUCACGACAGAGCUGAGACAUAUCAAUGGCAUCCAGAUGGCAGGGGACAAAGUUUUCAUCCAAACACAGACAUCUUCAGCAAUUAGUAACAAGAGCAAGAGGAAACAUUUCUUAUUAAGCACAAGCGAAACAGAUUUUUGAUUAACUGUUCCCAUUUCUGUCAGCCAUGCAAACUGGCACAGGCCCACAGGCCCAGGGCCUGGAAGAAGCAGGUGGUGGUGAGAAGAAGCAGGUGGUGGUGAGAAGCUGGAAAUGUUUCCCUAGGUGCUUAGCCUCCAAGGAAAGCCUCACAGAAGAAACAGGAGGGAAAAACCUGCCCAGCAUGUCUGAUGGUCGGCAGAGCCCCAGUUACACGGGUCUUGUCUUUGGAACACUGACAGAGCCAUGGAGUGUCAGCGCUGAUGAGCCUUUGACAACUGUCUCUGUGUUGGUGUGGAACAAACAUUUGAAAUUGGAGAGGCUGCAGGUGAAUCCUUCCUCUGCCAGUUUAGGAGUAAGUGCUUAACUAUCUAUAAGAAGGGAAAAGUAAAUCCUUACCUUAAGGGCUGUUCUGAGGCCCAAAUGAGGCAAUAACCAUGGUGCUGAUGGUGCUGAGGCUAAGAGUGGACAUCUGCCAGGUGCCGCUUUACCUAUGUGUAAACUCAUUUAACCUUCACAACAACCCUCUCAGGAAGGUACUAAUAUUAUCCCCAUUUUACAGAUGAAGAAACUGAGACAGAGACCAAGACCGUAAAGUUAUAAACGGCAAACUGAGUCAAUGUGGAUUUAAGUGUUAUAGAAACUAUAAAGUACCAUAAAGAUACUAGUUAGUUAUCAUCAUCUGGCCCAACCCCCCAUUGAAAAUAUGAGGAAAUGACAGCUUCAGAGAUAGAAUGUGAGGGCCAGAAUCCCACAGCUAGCUGACGGCAAAGUCAAAACAAGAGCCAGGUCCAAAAAGAGCAUACGGUUUUCAUGUGGUCUGAAGAAAGACCUGACUGACUACAUGUCAUCUCUACACAAACAACAUUAUUUCCUGUUUUCCAGGAUCAAGGAACUGGAAAGGACAUUAGAUUUGUUUUUAAUCAUCAUGGCCCUCACUUAGCAAUAUGACAGAACAGGGAGUCCAGGUCCCGCACUUAACUCUAGCCCAAAUAUAAGGUAUUAAAUCACAGCACAGCCUGGGUAGUUGAGCGAAGCAGUCACGGCCUCUUUAUGGCUUUGAACGGGAGGCCCCUGCGUAUUCAGGAAAGCGAUGUUAAAUGCAAGCCGUGGUGCUGACUCUGAAUUAAUCGCCAGCAAACAACCUGGCACAAAGCUGAGCAGAUCAAUAUACACAAGAGAAAAAGAAACAGGCUUUUAACUGCCUCGUGCUUUCCCACGUCGACAGUGACCGCUCUUGUGACCAGGUUCUCCCUCCAAUUCACCUGGCUGAUUGCUUUGAGCAUCGCUGGGGUGGGAGGCAGUUGAGGCUGUGUGCCCCUCCUGGGAUUCACUGAGCUUCCAUAGGGCUUCCAAGCACCACUCCCUGAUGGGGACUUGGGUACCCACUGACUUCUCCUAGUGGGCGGGGCACCAGGGCCAGAAGAUGCUUUUGAGGAUGAGGGUGGGAGUGAGUGGGUCAGGGAACUGGGAAGGACUGGGUAAGGUUGGCCAUGAUCCGACGGGCUCAGGGACGGUUAGAAGAGGGCCGUUUGUGCAUGGAAGACUGGCUGUUGCAUCCCCCAAACCCAUAAGCAUAC